rnacentral:rRNA from 1 species
GGCUGCGAUCAUACCAGCACUAAUGCACCGGAUCACAUCAGAACUCCGCAGUUAAGCGUGCUUGGGCGAGAGUAGUACUAGGAUGGGUGACCCCCUGGGAAGUCCUCGUGUUGCAACCC